GAUGAACGCUGGCGGCGUGCCUAAUACAUGCAAGUCGAGCGAACAGAUGAGGAGCUUGCUCCUCUGACGUUAGCGGCGGACGGGUGAGUAACACGUGGAUAACCUACCUAUAAGACUGGGAUAACUUCGGGAAACCGGAGCUAAUACCGGAUAAUAUAUUGAACCGCAUGGUUCAAUAGUGAAAGACGGUUUUGCUGUCACUUAUAGAUGGAUCCGCGCCGCAUUAGCUAGUUGGUAAGGUAACGGCCUACCAAGGCAACGAUGCGUAGCCGACCUGAGAGGGUGAUCGGCCACACUGGAACUGAGACACGGUCCAGACUCCUACGGGAGGCAGCAGUAGGGAAUCGUCCGCAAUGGGCGAAAGCCUGACGGAGCAACGCAGCGUGAGUGAUGAAGGUCUUCGGAUCGUAAAACUCUGUUAUUAGGGAAGAACAAAUGUGUAAGUAACUAUGCACGUCUUGACGGUACCUAAUCAGAAAGCCACGGCUAACUACGU
rnacentral:rRNA from 1 species